UUGCUCUCUCUGCCAGACAAAGUGAAUUAGGCUGCAUUAGCGGCCAUGCUUCUCUGUGGCCCUCAGGGCAGGGCUUCAGGCCUGCACACAGUCAUUUUGUUGUGGGUGGUGGUCCCCCCCCUUUUUAAUGGCAUACUAAUUAGCAUCAUUUUCCAGCAUGGGGCUAUUUGUAGUUGGCAAGCACCGAGCAAGUGCUUCUAACUCCAAGAUGGAAUUCGUGCAAAGCACCUCCCUUGGCGCUUCUGUCCUGGCUGUGAUGGGAUGUUCCUGCGCGUGUGUGUCUAUGACAUUACACAUAAUGAGGCCUGGGAAUAGAAACAAGAGGAGGGCAUCAGGAGAAAUGGCUUUGUGACUGGUGACUCAGCAUGCUAACUGCACGUGUGGCCCUUCUCCAGGGUUUCCACACACAGGCAAUCCUUGCAACACAAAGGAGUCCCCCGGCCACGAACCUGGAUUGAAGAUCUGUGGGUUUUUAAUAUCUGCACAGUUCCUUUAGCCAGGAAGCUGCGGCUGCUUUAUUGGCAUUGUCCCUUAACUCGCAUAUUUGCACCUAGUAGCAGUGAAGGAAAAGGCAUUCAUAUUCCUGAAGACUAGGGGAGAAUCACAGAGAGAGGCCCAGCCAGUCACUGGAUCCACAACAGAAAGCAGCACUUCCUAUAGAGAGGCCUCCUCUGGCAACUGUGCAGGUGCUGUGCGGGGCCACUGCCAGGUGCUGUGCGGGGCCACUGCCAGGUGCUUUGCGGGGCCACUGCCAGGUGCUGUGCGGGGCCACUGCCUCGAGUGGUAAUAAUGAGGCCCUGGGGUUUGCAGGGAGCGUUGCUAAGUCUUUGAAUUGACCUGGAGAAAUGGCUGUUUUUCUGUGCCUAUACUCGUCCCAACAUUUUUCCUGCCUUGCUUUUAAAGGCCUCUGUUUAUUUCAUCAACAGCACUCAUACUCUCAACUACUGCCAAAUGUCAUGCAUCUCUGGCACGUUCCUGAUCCUGAAGGCUGAGGAAGCCUAUUUCCCAUGCCGCGUGCUCACAUCUCUAUGCUGUGUCUGCGAUACCAGAUGAGAGGAAUUCGUCCCCAUGUCCACGUCUCAUCACCCGUCCCCUGCAAAGCUCCCUGGAGAGGGACUAUCCAGCUCAGCAGACACUGUGGGAGACUCAGGCCACUGUCAGCAGAGAGCAGACCAUUUCACCAUGACCUGCUUCUGGCCUCAGGGAGGGAAGACUGUGGGGGACUUUUAAAUCAUUCUCAGGAAGAAAGAAACUGCAGAGUGGAAUUCUGGAUAUAAUGGAAUCCUGCCCCAGCCUGGUGGCUUCUCUCAGAUCUUUCCUCCCGGCUUGCCGCUUCAUCGUCUCUGAACCUCCUGUGUCUCCUAUCGUGAUGAACUUGCAUUUUUAGAACAUUCCUGUGCUUUUCCAUGAGUGUGUGUUUGUUUCAGGUAAGAAACAUACAUGAAGUUUAUAUUUGAUGUGGCAUUUUGACAGCACCCCUUUCUGUAAUUCAAUCUACGAUCUCCCUUCAAGGUUGACAUUAAAAGUGUGCAGAAUCUGGGCUUUGAAAAA